rnacentral:rRNA from 1 species
AGAUACAGCCAUGCCACCCUGAACAAGCUCGAUCCUGUCUGAUCUCAGAAGCAAAGCAGGGUCAGGCCUUGUUAGUACUUGGAUGGGAGACCACUUAGGAAGACCAGGUGCUGUAGGUG